rnacentral:lncRNA from 1 species
GAAAAAUCAGGGAGCGAAAGUGGAAGGAAAAGAGAGAAUAAAACGCCAAACAAGUCCCUUCCUAUGACUGCAUUCAUGAACAGCAACGUGCAGGGUGUCAACAACUCCAUUCUCCAUAAUGCUUCUUGCACUCACCAUGAUCCUGGUGUUCACCUUGUUUUUGCAAGAAAGACCAAUGGUAGGCAUGGGUUCAACAUUAAGGGCAGUCCAAAGAGCUAAAAUAUGUUGAAAAGACAGUCAAACACUCAGAGUCUUCUUCAUGGAUGGUCCUUUUUUCUAUUGGUAUUUUGAAAAAAUAAAUUGAGUGGUAUGGAAAAGGGGAUGGAUUCUGAUUCUUCAUGCAUGGCUGCAACCCACUUCUCAUGCACGAGAACCAUCCUUCAUUUUGGAAGGACAGAGAGAAUCUACGCACAGUGUUACUCCAUGCAAUAAACCUUUCUUAUGUAUUGAGCAAUGCUUCUUGCACUCACCAUGACCCUGGUGUCCACCUUGUUUUUGCAAGAAAGACAAAUGGUAGGCAUGGGUUCCACAUUAGGGGCAGUCCAAAGAGCUAAAAUAUGUUUAAAGGACAGUCAAACACUCAAGAGUCUUUUUCAUGGAGGGUCCUUUUUUUUCAAUUGGUAUUUUGAAAAAAUAAAUUUAGUGGUACGAAAAGGGCAUGGAUUCUGAUUCUUCAUGCAUGGCUGCGACCCACUUCUCAAGCACGAGAACCAUCCUUGCCCGUGGAAGGACAGAGAGAAUCUAUGCACAAUGUUACUACAUGCAAUAAACCUUUCUUAUGUAUUGAGCAUUAUUAUUGUUCUAUGUAAUUUGUAACUCCAAUAUAUCAAGAACUCC